CGGCUGCUUCAUGAGUUUCUGUCGUUUUUUGGCAAAAAUGACAACCAAUGAGGCUGUUCUGAAGAGACUGGAGCAGAAGGGGGCAGAGGCGGAUCAAAUUAUUGAAUAUCUUAAACAGCAAGUUGCUCUUCUCAAGGAGAAAGCAAUUUUGCAGGCAACACUGAGAGAAGAGAAAAAACUUCGAGUUGAAAAUGCUAAACUGAAGAAAGAAAUAGAAGAACUGAAACAGGAGCUGAUUCAGGCUGAAAUUCAGAAUGGAGUGAAGCAAAUACCAUGCCCAUCUUAUACUACACUGCAAGCCAAUUCUGUGACUGCUGAAAAUGCAGCACAGUCAACACCAGUAACUGUAUCGUCUGGUGCCAAAGAACACGUAAAAAAGCGGGGAGAAGAAAAGGCGAAAGAAAGAACUGAAAAGAAAGGAGAAAAGAAGGAGAAAAAGCCAUCUGCAGCAGGAAGUGCUGACUCUAAGCCAGUGGAUGCUUCCCGUCUGGAUCUUCGAAUUGGCCGAAUCAUUAAUGCCAAAAAACACCCUGAUGCAGAUUCUUUGUAUGUAGAAGAAAUAGAUGUUGGAGAAGCAGCCCCAAGAACAGUUGUCAGCGGCCUAGUGAAUCAUGUUCCCCUUGAACAGAUGCAAAAUCGGAUGGUGAUUCUGCUUUGCAAUCUGAAGCCUGCAAAGAUGAGGGGGGUCCUGUCUCAGGCGAUGGUGAUGUGCGCCAGUUCACCAGAGAAGGUUGAAAUCCUGGCUCCUCCUGAUGGGUCCAUUCCUGGAGACAGAGUCACUUUUGAUGCUUUCCCUGGGGAACCUGACAAGGAGCUAAAUCCUAAAAAGAAGAUUUGGGAGCAGAUCCAGCCUGACCUGUACACCAGAGAGGACUGUGUGGCCACAUACAAGGGUGUUCCCUUUGAGGUGAAAGGGAAGGGAGUGUGCAGGGCUCAGACCAUGGCCAAGAGUGGGAUCAAAUAAGAUCAGAGGCGGUGUUGCCGGAGCUCACUGGCAGAAACACUAAUAACAAUAAAAAGAAUAUGUUCGUUACUUCUA